rnacentral:rRNA from 1 species
AGCCAACCUUGAAAUACCACCCUGAUUUAUUUGAGGUUCUAACCUUGAUCCGUGAAUCCGGAUCGGGGACCGUGCAUGGUGGGCAGUUUGACUGGGGCGGUCUCCUCCCCAAAAGGUAACGGAGGAGUACGAAGGUACGCUUAGGGCGGUCGGACAUCGCCCAUAAAGUGCAAUGGCAAAAGCGUGCUUGACUGCGAGACCCACAAGUCGAGCAGGUGCGAAAGCAGGUCAUAGUGAUCCGGUGGUUCUGUAUGGAAGGGCCAUCGCUCAACGGAUAAAAGGUACUCUGGGGAUAACAGGCUGAUACCGCCCAAGAGUUCAUAUCGACGGCGGUGUUUGGCACCUCGAUGUCGGCUCAUCUCAUCCUGGGGCUGUAGCCGGUCCCAAGGGUAUGGCUGUUCGCCAUUUAAAGAGGUACGUGAGCUGGGUUUAAAACGUCGUGAGACAGUUUGGUCCCUAUCUGCCGUGGGCGCUGGAUAUUUGAAGGGGGCUGCUCCUAGUACGAGAG